GUAUUAUCACCAAUAACAGGACGCGUAAUUGGAACAAAAGAGAUUCGCGUUGGAAGCGAUAAAGUAAGCCUUAUAAAACUUUCUGUCCGAGUUGUAUCAGGACUACAGUUAACUAUAACACCAGAUAAUACUAUUGAAAAUGGAUAUAUUGCUGAAACUGCAGUUACUCAUAAAUUGACAGCACAGUAUCAGGAAGGUCUUCUGGAUAUUGACCUAGAGUUCUCAGAUGGGUCUCGUACUCCUCUAAGGGAUAUAUCUGUAGAAGAUUACUUCCUAUUAGUUGAAAGCUUAGAUACAGAAGUUGUGGCAUUUGCCCCAAUGCUUGCCUCACAUCACCCUCGUGUAAUCGCUGUCGGAGAAGGAAAUGGAAACCUACUAAGAGUUACUUUACUCCUGUCUGAAGAAUGUCGAAUAAGGCGCAAUAUAAUGUCAACAAAACAAACAAAAUAUAAUACUUCACCACUAGCGAGCGCCCUGGCUGCGGUUGAUGUUGAUUUUAAUAACGCUAACGAUAUUAUUAAUAAGCAUGAAGUUGUUCAGAAUGAUGGUGUUAUUCGAAA